GGGCGAAUGGUCUAGAGGUAUGAUAUUCGCUUUGCAUGCGAAGGGUCCGGGGUUCAAUUCCCCGUUCGUCCA
rnacentral:tRNA from 1 species